AGCAGCCGCGGUAAUUCCAGCUCCAAUAGCGUAUAUUAAAGUUGUUGCAGUUAAAAAGCUCGUAGUUGAAUUUCGGGGUUAGUAGGUUGGUCAUGCCUCUGGUAUGUACUGGUCUCACUGAUUCCUCCUUCCUGAUGAGCCGUAAUGCCAUUAAUUUGGUGUUGCGGGGAAUUUGGACUGUUACUUUGAAAAAAUUAGAGUGUUUUAAAGCAAGCUAACGCUUGAAUACAUUAGCAUGGAAUAAUGAAAUAGGACGUUCGAUCCUAUUUUGUUGGUUUCUAGGAUUGACGUAAUGAUUAAUAGGGAUAGUUGGGGGCAUUAGUAUUCAAUUGUCAGAGGUGAAAUUCUUGGAUUUAUUGAAGACUAACUACUGCGAAAGCAUUUGCCAAGGAUGUUUUCAUUAAUCAAGAACGAAAGUUAGGGGAUCGAAGACGAUCAGAUACCGUCGUAGUCUUAACCAUAAACUAUGCCGACUAGGGAUCGGAUGAUGUUAAUUUUUUAAUGACUCAUUCGGCGCCUUACG
rnacentral:rRNA from 1 species